rnacentral:rRNA from 1 species
ACGAACGCUGGCGGCGUGCCUAAUCCAUGCAAGUUGCGCGAUGAAGAUUGGUGCUUGCACCAAUUUGAAGAGCAGCGAACGGGUGAGUAACGCGUGGGGAAUCUGCCUUUGAGCGGGGGACAACAUUUGGAAACGAAUGCUAAUACCGCAUAAUAACUUUAAACAUAAGUUUUAAGUUUGAAAGAUGCAAUUGCAUCACUCAAAGAUGAUCCCGCGUUGUAUUAGCUAGUUGGUGAGGUAAAGGCUCACCAAGGCGAUGAUACAUAGCCGACCUGAGGGGGUGAUCGGCCACAUUGGGACUGAGACACGGCCCAAACUCCUACGGGAGGCAGCAGUAGGGAAUCUUCGGCAAUGGACGAAAGUCUGACCGAGCAACGCCGCGUGAGUGAAGAAGGUUUUCGGAUCGUAAAACUCUGUUGGUAGAGAAGAACGUUGGUGAGAGUGGAAAGCUCAUCAAGUGACGGUAACUACCCAGAAAGGGACGGCUAACUACGUG